UCGGAUUGCAGGCUGCAACUCGCCUGCAUGAAGUCGGAGUUGCUAGUAAUCGCAGAUCAGAAUGCUGCGGUGAAUACGUUCCCGGGUCUUGUACACACCGCCCGUCACACCAUGGGAGUCAGUAACGCCCGAAGUCAGUGACCGAACCGAGAGGACGGAGCUGCCGAAGGCGGGACGGAUAACUGGGGUGAAGUCGUAACAAGGUAUC
rnacentral:rRNA from 1 species